UGCAAUCUUUAGUAUUUACCAAUGGUCUUUACUAACCAGGAAGCGUCACGCCUUCAUCCUGCGUACAUGAUUCAAUCCCACUUGGCAAACGAGAACGAGAACUUGCAUGCAGGAAAAUGCAAAGAUCAAUCAAAGAGCUGAGUGUUCGUUAUGACCCGAUCAACGAAACCAAUACUUUUACUAAUGGAGACAUAGUGGAGGGGCGAGUUGUUCUGGAAGUGACCAAAGAAAUAAACGUGGAGAAUUUGUUUGUGAAGCUGACGGGCGACGCGGACGUGCGCUGGACUGAAGGCUCAGGGGAUGACGAAAGAUCCUACAGCGACCAUGAGAGAUACUUUAAACAAAAGCAAUAUUUUAUCCAGGACAGCUCGAAGAAAGGACAAUGUGAAAAGAAUACCACACUUGUAAGUGGAGAAACUUAUGGAUCAGUGAUCAAACCAGGAAGUCAUGUCUUUCCAUUCAGAUUUCAGCUGCCUCAACAAAAUAUGCCUCCGACUUUUAAAGGAUUUCAUGGUUGGGUGAAGUACAUUGUGAUGGUAAAGCUAAAAAGGUCUUGGAAGCCAACAUCAAGUGCACAAGCAGAAAUUAACUUUGCGCCCAGAAAUUUUGGGACCAAUGACCAUUUACUGCAACCACAAUCUGGUACAGAAGACAAGAAGAUGAAACUUUUUGGCUCAGGAAAAAUGUCAAUGACCGUAACAACGGACAAAACAGGCUACAUGCUAGGUGAAAUAAUAAGGGUUUCUGUUGAUAUUGACAACUCUUCAUCACGUGAUAUCAAGCUAAAGUACAGCCUUAAACAACUACAAACGUUCAUUGCUGGAAGAAGCACUACUCAUGCACACAAGGACAUAGUCAAAGAAACUAAAGACUGCAUCCCAUCUGGAGGAAAGACACGAUUUGUGGUGGACAUCAAGCUUCCGCAUGACAUUAUGGUCACCAUUGAAAACUGCAGAAUUAUAAAAGUGCAAUACGAACUCAAGGUCUAUCUGGAUGUUUCAUUUGCUUCAGAUCCGACAGUUAAAUUCCCGGUGGUCAUUAUUCCACCUUUACAGCAGUGUCCUCCCUGGCAUGAUCCACCUCCACCAUACAUGCCACCUCAGCCUAACCUAGUGCCCUAUCCUGGUGGAGCUGCUCCACCACCUGCAGGACUGUACCCUAAUCUGUAUGAUCCAGUGCCACCCUAUCCAGGAACCGCUGCUGGGACCUUUCCGAAUCCAAAUGCCAUGCUGCCUGGUUUCCAUCCGGCUCCAUCUGCUCCAGUUUAUGAUCUAAAUCAAAGCACUAAAGAAUCUUUUCCUAAUGCGCCUCAUUAGUUUCUUUCACCAGCCAAACUGACAGCCUCUUGUACUAUGCUAUAUUAAUAAUAUUGUCAGGGUUUUACCUCAAUGCACUCAAGCUUUAUGCCUGUUAUUGUGCCUUGAAAUUUGAGCACUUUUGCAUAUCAUAGGUAAUAUACAGUAGUCUUCAUUUGAAGUUAAUCGAAAUCGUUCAUUAGUGUUGUCCUUUAAACAACAACCAUUCUUGUCUUAGGACAAUUUUGAAAAAUUAAAAAGUAUCCACUUCAAAUGUUGACACUAGCCAGCCACUUUGUUAGGUAAAUAUUGCUAAUACUGGGUUAAACCCAUCUUUUGCCCUCAGAACAGCCUUAAGAUUUAGUUCUUAGAUUAAGUUCUGGAAAUGGUUCACACCAGGACGCUUUUUGUUUGCAUUUUCUGUCAAAUAAAGUUUGAGUAAGUUUAAGUUUCUGACUAAAUAAAGGGCACCAAUGUGAUUGUGCACACCAACACGCUAAACGUGUUUUAAAGAAACGCAUCUUGUUCGUUUUUUUCUUUUCAUCUUCUCCACCAAUCAGAUUGCCACUUUCACUGAUUCUAAGUUUUUUGACAACAAUCAUGUCAACUCUCUGUCUUCUGCACCAUCUAUCGUCAAGGAGUGAUUUUGUAUACUCUUCUGCUCGACGCCAAUGAAAAUCGCUUGCAUUUGAAUCUGGAACAAAGUCUUGAAAAACGUUGACAAUAAUCCCAAACGAAAAGCGUCCAGUGUGUACGAGGCUUUAGAUUGCUAUUAAGGUAAAAUGGAUUUUAUUAAUAAAAUACUAUUUUG
ensembl:processed_transcript si:dkey-172m14.1 si:dkey-172m14.1